UUCUUUACACAUUCCAAUCAACUUUAAUUUUCUUCUCUGUUCUCUCUCCGUCCCACCCUCCCUUGACCCUUUUCUUCUCGAUCUGGAGCAAGAAGCAGAAACAACUCGAGUUUCAUCCUCGGUCUCAAUCCAUCGUCUCUUGCUUCCUGAAGAUGUUACGGCGAGGCCGAUCCCCAUAUCAAGUCACUGUUCUCUUGCAUCAAGCAGAAGAAGAAGAGGCUGACUAGCUCUCUGUCAAAAUUUCACAGGUUAAAUCUGAAAUAUCUCUUAGGUUUUAUUCCUAUUGAGUAUUUUCUGUGAUUGGGUCUAUUUGAUUGAAGAUUUCUCACAUUUUCUUCACAUUGAAAAUCCCUAUGUGAUUGGGUCUAUUUGAUAUCUCGUUUGGUAUUUUCGAACUGUGAUUCUAUUAAGGAUUUCGAUGGGUUCCAGGUUCAGACAAUUUUCAGGUUGUAGAGGUUUUGAUUUUGAGUAUAAUUGGUUUUGGGUAUACCAUAUUUUAAGGUAAUUUUGUCCAGUGACUCCAUUAGGAUGAUUAGGACUGGGAAGGAUCAAGUUCAGUUAUUGCACACCAUGUGUUUGAAGUUAUGCCUCAAAGACAGCACCCAAGCUGAACCAGUGGGCUAUUCCAUGAUUUUCGAAAACCCUAUACUUCUUCUUUUACUCUCAGUUUUUGAUAGCUUAAAAUAGACUCUUCAAUGAUCAUUUUGAGCUUGGUUUCAUGAAAAACGGAGUUAAAAUGAAAUACUUAUGCCAUUUUGAAAUUACUGCACUGUUUCAGGAUUUCUGCAGAAAUCAGUAUUUUCUGCUACUUUGGAUUCUUGUUUGACCACUGAUUUGAACUGCGAAUGACCUGAAAUUUUGCAAAAUAGUAGCUUUACAUGUCUACUUCAAAUCUGGAGAGUUUUGCAUGAAAUAACUGAAGAGUAGUUGUUGGUGAAUUUUUCUUUCUUGCUAACAGUCUUCUGAAAUUUUCUCAAAUUUGCAGCAACCUUGUUACAAAACAAUCUGUUUGACAGGCCUUCACACCUUUGUUAGUCCUUGAAUUUUAGUAUGUUAAAAUAGACUGAAUAUUAACAUUCUUAUCUGGAUUUCUUGUUAACACUUAAGCAAGUUUGUAGAGAAAACAACAACCAUGGGUCUAGAAGAAUGCUAUUCACAUCGAUAUUUACUUUAAAGUCAGUGCAAGAGAACGAUAACUAUGCUGCAAUGAGAGAAAAGCCCAAAGAUUUUGCAAGUGAAAGCAUAGCAAGAGCUUAAGUUGGUUUGGGUCAAACUGAGAUUUAAGUUGAAAUUUGCUUUGAAUGUGGUAGGCACAUAUGUGCGCCAUGAUUGUACUAUUGUUGCCAUUGCUGAAGAAAGCUGCCGCUGAUACACCAGAGUAACAAGCCUCCACAAAGAAGGUUGAACAUGAUGCAAAAGUAUGGAACAACUGCAAGUUGGAGACCAGUGGAGUGGAGCGGGUCAGCCUAGUUUAUCAACUUUUGGUCUUCUUUUUGGGUCCUCUUAUGAUGUAGUGGAAUUAAAUGAUGAAACAAAUGUGAUGAUUUCUUAAUGAAACUAGUAGUAUUAUGUCUCCAUUGUGAUAUGUGUAAAUAAAAAGAUAAUUGAUUUCUGAAUUUAACCAGAAAU